CUUUGGCGCAACAGUUGCUUGGUUUAAACACAAACCUAAUGAGUCAGACUUGCCCAUACUAGGCCCAGAUGCAAAUAGACUGUAGCAACAAAAAGUCGGUACUUUUAUUGGGAUUUACACCAACAUUCUUCUGCACUAUCUCUCUUAACAGUUUUCUGGAAAACUAUAUAUUGCUGUUUGCGUAAUCCCGCGGACAGACAGCUAACAAAAACACCUGUGGUUGGCCCGCAUUAAUAAGGAGUCAUACCUGCGGGGCGCCUACAGUUGACAGUUUAAUUUCUGCAAAUUUGCCACCAUUAUGUGGACAACAUGAGUAAAUCUAGUUAAUGACCAUGGAUUGUACACUUUAUUCACUUCUAUGACCCAAUCCAAACAGCCAUUCCCACACAUGGUGCUAACUGCAGCCAACACAAAUAGUCAACAUACAUGGUCACACAUAACACUAUCUGCUCACUGAACUUUUUGGAUGUUAUAAAAAAAAGUCCAAGCACCACAGAAAAUUCAAAUUAAAACCGCUUAAAUCCAGUAAAAUGCACAAUGAGAAAAAUUCAGAACACUCUAAACACAUAGCCAUGUUUACAAGGUGAAGUCAAACUUUCACAUACUCUUAAUGUCCAAUCAUAUUAAUCAUUAGCUAUAUAUCUCUAAUAUAUAUAUAUGUGUGUGUGUGUACAGUAUAUAUAUGUUUAUAUAUGUAUAAAUGUGUGUGUACAGUUUAUAUAUGCAUGUAUAUGUGUAUGUAUGUAUAUAUAUAUAUAUAUAUAUAUAUGUAUAAUAUAUAUAUCUUUGUAUGUAUAUAUGUGUGUGUGUGUGUGUGUGUGUGUAUAUGUGUGUGUGUAUGUAUAUAUGUAUGUGUAUGUAUAUAUGUAUAUGUGUGUACAUAUAUAUGUAUGUGUAUGUAUGUGUAUGUAUAUGUAUGUAUGUAAAUAUGCAUGUGUGUAUGUAUAUAUAUAUAUAUAUGUGUAUAUGUAUAUGAAUGUGUGUAUAUAUAGUAGGGCUGCAACAACUAAUAGAUUAAAAUCAAUUAUAAAAAUAGUUGGUGAUUAAUUUAGUCAUCGAUUCGUUGGAUGUAUGCAAUGCGCAUGCGCUGAGGCUCUUUUUUUAAAUAUUUUUUUUAUUUUUUCCCCCUAAACCUUUGUUUAUAAACUGCGACAUUUACAAACAGCUGAGAAACAAUAAUCAAAAUAAGCACAAAAACAGUACAAAACAGUGCCAGGGCGGCGCUGAGGCUACGUCUCAUGUGGUGGCAGUGAGCCACCCAAGGAUGUGUCAUGUGCAGCUCACGUGACCACGCCGUAUCCUUUGCCUGGAAACAUUUGAAAAAUGGCGGAGGUAAACAGGAUCGAUAGUUCAGCGGAGAAACAUCUUGAGGUUAAUGCUUCAAUGGAGAAAAGUGUACGACUACGACCUAAGUUGUCCAAAGUGUCUGAAAACUUUACUUUAAACACUGCAAAGAAGACAGUUUCCUGCAAAAUGUGCAGCAUAGACAUUGCCUGGCACGGAAGGACAACAUUGCUUCGGGAGCACCUGAAGAGGAGCAAUGGAUGAAGGGAAGAACUCACGAAAAAAACAAGGCAGCAUUAGCGACUUGGUACAAAGGAAGUUGUGCACACCACAGCAAGCGGCUGCACUGACUGAUGCUACCUGAAUAUGUUGUUAACUGACAAGAGGCCACUAUCAAUGGUGGAGGAUGAAAGUUUUAGACAAAUGAUUCACGUCCUCAACCCUGGUUACACUCUUCCCUUGAGGACCCAUUUUACCAAAGUGAUAGAGAGGAAGUACGAGCAAACAUUCCAAGCAGUGCAAACUGCCAUAAAGGCCACACAGAGCAAAUUGCUCUCAUUACUGAUGUGUGGACAAGUGUAGCCUACCUUGGCAAUACAUGCCAUUACAUUGGAGACAAAUGGAACAUGAAGUCAAUCUGCCUUACGACCAUUCCACUAGAGGAAAGACAUUCAGCAUCCAACACUACAGAGUGGUUGGAAUAGGUAGUAGACAGGUUUGAAAUUCUCCUAAGCAAAAUUACUGCUAUUGUGCUUGACAAUGGUGCACUUUAUAAAUAAAAAACAAACAUUUUUGUAACACUUGCCUUGUUUUAUUUGGCAAGUCGAAAGGACAUGGUGCCAGUAUGCUGUUUUUUAAAAUAAAGUAUUGAAAA